GUAGGGAAUUUUCGGCAAUGGGCGCAAGCCUGACCGAGCAACGCCGCGUGAGUGAUGAAGGUCUUCGGAUCGUAAAGCUCUGUUGUAAGGGAAGAACGUCUCUGUAAGAAACAGGGAGUGACGGUACCUUACCAGAAAGCCACGGCUAACUACGUGCCAGCAGCCGCGGUAAUACGUAGGUGGCAAGCGUUAUCCGGAAUUAUUGGGCGUAAAGGGUGCGUAGGCGGCUUGUUAAGUUUAUGGUGAAAGCGUGGGGCUUAACCCCAUUAAGCCAUAGAUACUGGCAGGCUAGAGUGUAGAAGAGGGCAGUGGAAUUCCAUGUGUAGCGGUAAAAUGCGUAGAUAUAUGGAGGAACACCAGUGGCGAAGGCGGCUGCCUAGUCUACAACUGACGCUGAGGCACGAAAGCGUGGGGAGCAAAUAGGAUUAGAAACCCGGGUAGUCC
rnacentral:rRNA from 1 species